rnacentral:misc_RNA from 1 species
GAUGAAGAACGCAGCGAAAUGCGAUAAGUAGUGUGAAUUGCAGAAUUCAGUGAAUCAUCGAAUCUUUGAACGCACAUUGCGCCCCUUGGUAUUCCAUGGGGCAUGCCUGUUCGAGCGUCAUUUGUACCUUCAAGCUUUGCUUGGUGUUGGGUGUUUGUCCCUCGGGACUCGCCUUAAAGUCAUUGGCAGCCAGUGUUUUGGUUUUGAAGCGCAGCACAAGUCGCGAUUCAAGGCUAUCCGCCCGCUUCCACAAGCCUUUUUCACUUUUGACCUCGGAUCAGGUAGGGAUACCCGCUGAACUUAAGCAUAUCAAUAAGCGGGA